rnacentral:rRNA from 1 species
GCCCAGACCUACAGCUAAGGUCCCAAAGUACGUGUUAAGUGGAAAAGGAUGUGGGGAUUCUAAGACAACUAGGACGUUGGCUUAGAAGCAGCCAUUCAUUGAAAGAGUGCGUAAUAGCUCACUAGUCGAGAGUCCCUGCGCCGAAAAUGUCCGGGGCUGAAACACGACACCGAAGCUUAGGAAUGUGUAAACAUUGGUAGAGGAGCAUUGCUAGCGGGAUGAAGCCAUACCGUAAGGAGUGGUGGACUGCUAGGAAGAGAGAAUGCCGGAAUGAGUAGCGAGAUGAAGGUGAGAAUCCUUCAGGCCGAAUAUCUAAGGUUUCCAGAGUAAAGCUGAUCUGCUCUGGGUAAGUCGGGACCUAAGGCGAGGUCGAAAGACGUAGUCGAUGGAUAACAGGUUGAAAUUCCUGUACCGCAUAUAAACAGAACUGUGGGGACACAGACAGGGAAUGGAAUCCGGGAAUGGAUAUCCCGGUGCAAGCGAGGUAGGAGUGCUGUUGGCAAAUCCGCAGCACGAUCUGAAGACGUGAUGCGUACCGAACAUAAGUAGGGAAGUCCAGGCCCCUGGCUGUCAAGAAAAGCCGCUAUUGUUUUAUAUGUGCCCGUACCGUAAACCGACACAGGUGGAUGAGGAGAGAAUCCUAAGGCCGGCGGGAGAAGUGUUGUUAAGGAACUCGGCAAAAUGACUCCGUAACUUCGGGAGAAGGAGUGCCACAGAGAUGUGGCCGCAGAGAAAUGGCCCAAGCAACUGUUUAGCAAAAACACAGGUCUAUGCAAAACCGAAAGGUGAGGUAUAUGGGCUGACGCCUGCCCGGUGCUGGAAGGUUAAGAGGAGAGGUUAGCGCAAGCGAAGCUUUGAAUUUAAGCCCCAGUAAACGGCGGCCGUAACUAUAACGGUCCUAAGGUAGCGAAAUUCCUUGUCGGGUAAGUUCCGACCCGCACGAAAGGCGUAAUGAUUUGAGCACUGUCUCGACAAUGCACCCGGUGAAAUUGAAGUACCAGUGAAGAUGCUGGUUACCUGCGCCAGGACGGAAAGACCCCAUGGAGCUUUACUCCAGUUUGAUACUGGGAUUCGGUACUGUCUGUACAGGAUAGGUGGGAGGCUAGGAAAUGGUGACGCCAGUUGCCAUGGAGCCAACCUUGGGAUACCACCCUUACAGUACUGGGUUUCUAACCUGCAGCCGUAACCCGGCUGGGGGACAAUGUCUGACGGGGAGUUUGACUGGGGCGGUCGCCUCCGAAAGAGUAUCGGAGGCGCUCAAAGGUUCCCUCAGAACGGUUGGAAACCGUUCGAAGAGUGCAAAGGCAGAAGGGAGCUUGACUGCGACACCGACGGGUGGAGCA